CCCAACGUUUGCACUGCGAGUUUAUUUCGAUGCACGCGAAGAACCUUACCUGGCCUUGACAUACUAAGAACUUUCCAGAGAUGGAUUGGUGCCUUCGGGAACUUAGAUACAGGUGCUGCAUGGCUGUCGUCAGCUCGUGUCGUGAGAUGUUGGGUUAAGUCCCGCAACGAGCGCAACCCUUUUCCUUAUUUGCCAUCGGGUCAUGCCGGGAACUUUAAGGAUACUGCCAGUGACAAACUGGAGGAAGGCGGGGACGACGUCAAGUCAUCAUGGCCCUUACGGCCAGGGCUACACACGUGCUACAAUGGUCGGUACAAAGGGUUGCUACCUCGCGAGAGGAUGCUAAUCUCAAAAAGCCGAUCGUAGUCCGGAUCGCAGUCUGCAACUCGACUGCGUGAAGUCGGAAUCGCUAGUAAUCGCGGAUCAGAAUGCCGCGGUGAUCUUCCCGCGGGCGGCCAAUAA
rnacentral:rRNA from 1 species